UUUCCUACGGGGGGCAGCAGUGGGGGAUAUUGCACAAUGGGGGGAACCCUGAUGCAGCGACGCCGCGUGGGUGAAGAAGCGCCUCGGCGCGUAAAGCCCUGUCAGCAGGAAAGAAAAUGACGGUACCUGAAGAAGAAGCCCCGGCUAACUACGUGCCAGCAGCCGCGGUAAUACGUAGGUGGCAAGCGUUGUCCGGAUUUACUGGGUGUAAAGGGCGUGUAGCCGGGCCGGCAAGUCAGAUGUGAAAUCCCAAGGCUCAACCUUGGAACUGCAUUUGAAACUGUUGGUCUUGAGUAUCGGAGAGG
rnacentral:rRNA from 1 species